rnacentral:lncRNA from 1 species
UGAGAGUUCAAAGCCAUAGCAGAAGCACUCACAGUGUGGCCAUGUCAGAUUCAAAUGAAUUUGUGAAUUCUGCU